GACGGAGGAUGCAAGUGUUAUCCGGAAUCACUGGGCGUAAAGCGUCUGUAGGUGGUUUAAAAAGUCUACUGUUAAAAAUUGAAGCUUAACUUCAAAGGUGCCGUAGAAACUUUUAAACUUGAGGAUGGUAGGGGUAGAGGGAAUUUCCAGUGGAGCGGUGAAAUGCGUAGAUCUUGGAAAGACCACCAAUGGCGAAGGCACUCUACUGGGCCAUGACUGACACUAAGAGACGAAAGCUAGGGGAGCAAAUGGG
rnacentral:rRNA from 1 species